rnacentral:tRNA from 1 species
GAGGGUAUAGCUCAAGUGAUAGAGCACAUGCUUAGCAUGCACGAGGUCCUGGGUACAAUCCCCAGUACCUCCU